UACGGAGGGUGCAAGCGUUAUCCGGAUUCACUGGGCUUAAAGGGUGCGUAGGUGGGCAGGUAAGUCAGUGGUGAAAUCCUGUAGCUUAACUACAGAACUGCCAUUGAUACUAUUUGUCUUGAAUACCCUGGAGGUGAGCGGAAUAUGUCAUGUAGCGGUGAAAUGCUUAGAUAUGACAUAGAACAUCUAUUGCGAAGGCAGCUCACUACGGGAAUAUUGACGCUGAGGCACGAAAGCGUGGGGAUCAAACAGG
rnacentral:rRNA from 1 species